rnacentral:rRNA from 1 species
GACGAACGCUGGCGGCGUGCUUAACACAUGCAAGUCGAACGGAAAGGCCCUUCGGGGUCCUCGAGUGGCGAACGGGUGAGUAACACGUGGGUGAUCUGCCCUGCACUUUGGGAUAAGCCUGGGAAGCUGGGUCUAAUACCGAAUAGGACCACGCGCUUCAUGGUGUGUGGUGGAAAGCUUUUGCGGUGUGGGAUGGGCCCGCGGCCUAUCAGCUUGUCGGUGGGGUAAUGGCCUACCAAGGCGACGACGGGUAGCCGGCCUGAGAGGGUGACCGGCCACACUGGGACUGAGAUACGGCCCAGACUCCUACGGGAGGCAGCAGUGGGGAAUAUUGCACAAUGGGCGCAAGCCUGAUGCAGCGACGCCGCGUGAGGGAUGACGGCCUUCGGGUUGUAAACCUCUUUCAAUAGGGACGAAGCGCAAGUGACGGUACCUAUAGAAGAAGCACCGGCCAACUACGUG